AUCAACUUAAAUAACGAAAGCCCUGCCUCUCUUUCAUCCUUGCGGUUCCGUGACCGCGCCAGUGUAAAUAAGAAUCACUCACAAUGG
rnacentral:sRNA from 1 species